rnacentral:sRNA from 1 species
AAAGAGUCAAGAAGCAGAACUGAAGGUUCUUUCGUGUGAUGACUGGGAAAUUGUGUGUCCCGGGGGAACACACACUUCUUACCAGGUGCUGUGUGGGGUAGUGGGUUGAGGGCAGGGGCAAGGAGGCAUCCAUCCUUAAAGUGGGCACCAUCUGGGCAGAGGAUAGCAACACUGUCUGGAAGGCCAGGGAUGGAGCUCGUGCCUUCCUCUUAGGGUGGUUGAGGAUAGACCAGCAACAGAUUCUGGGACUUUGGUGAUGGGCCUCAAAGAGGACACAGUCAUUCCCUUGCAGAAACCAGGGUCAAGAGGCAGGAAGUAGUACAGUACAUUUAUGGAAUCAUGGAUCGUCCAAUUGGGUGGGAGCUGGAGUGCCUGUAGGGACAUGAAUGGUGCAGAGAAAGCUGGAAAGACAAGUUAGCAUCAAAAGGAAGAACUGGAUGCCAAAUUACUAUUGCCUCAUUCCAAGGCAAUUGGGAUCUUUUGUCUGCAGAGACUAUAAAUUCUUUGAGGCCUAGUAUUGCAUCUUUUCAUCAUAGUGUACCUGGGGCUUCUACAACAAUAGUACUCAGUAUAUCUUUGUUGAAUAUUUAAGAAAAAAGUCUACAGGCAGUUGGAGCUGCUGGAGUUUGUUGAGCAUUGGUGUGAUAGAAUCAGAGCUGUGAUCAGGGGGUGAGCUUGUCCAGUGGAAUGUAGCAGGAGAUACUGGACAUACGAAGAGGGGUUCUGAAGCUGAAAUGGCCCAGGUGAAAGUUGUGGAGUCUGAUUUACAGAGGAGGACAUGAAGAUUAAUGGGCUCAUGCUCUGACAAAAGGGACUUCCCAGGAUGACUGGCUUAGUGAGUAUUUCACUAGGGGGAGUGAGGGAACGUGAGGAGGCAGACUUCAGCAAGAAGGAUGGUGGGCCCUUUAAUAGAGAAAUAGGAGCUGGUUUGGGGUAGAAGACUCUGAACUUAGUUGUGGAGUGCUGGGAAGAGAGCCAGGUGAAGUCCCAGCAGGCAGGAAGCCCCAUGCGGCCCAACUCCAGGGGUGGCCAUUCACAGUGUAUUUUCUGUGAGUGGCACCCCCUGGAGUUGUGUAGUCACAGCCUCACACUAUUGGGAGGGGUCCCUCUGUAGGAAAGAGAAAAAGGAAGCACUGGAAAUCAGAGAGAGGUCAGGCCUAGACAUGGAACUGCUGGAGUCCUCUGCACAGCUGUGGGUUUCUCGUCCUGCCCCUCUCUUGUACUGCCAUCCCGGGCUUGUCUCUGCUGAGCUCCUCUCUCUAGCUGUCAUCUUCUCUUCCUUCCAGUUCCCUGGCUGGUCCCAGGGCACAGAAGGCUCACUGAUCAUCGCCCUGGGGAACGAAGAUGCCCUGGGAGAAUACUCCUGCACCCCCUACAACAGUCUUGGUACCGCUGGGCCCUCUCCUGUGACCCGCGUGCUGCUCAAGGCUCCCCCAGCUUUUAUAGAGCUGCCCAAGGAAGAAUAUUUCCAAGAAGUAGGGCGGGAGCUGCUCAUCCCCUGCUCCGCCCAAGGGGACCCUCCUCCUGUCAUCUCUUGGGCCAAGGCACUAGCCCUCAUGUUGUCACCAAUGUGUCCGUGGUGCCUUUGCCCAAGGGUGCCAAUGUCUCCUGGGAGCCUGGCUUUGAUGGUGGCUAUCUGCAGAGAUUCAGUGUCUGGUACACCCCACUGGCCAAGCGUCCUGACCGAAUGCACCAUGACUGGGUGUCCUUGGCAGUGCCUGUGGGGGCUGCUCACCUCCUAGUGCCAGGGCUGCAGCCCCACACCCAGUACCAGUUCAGCGUGCUAGCUCAGAACAAGCUGGGGAGUGGUCCCUUCAGCGAAAUCGUCUUGUCUGCUCCUGAAGGGCUUCCUACCACGCCAGCUGCACCCAGGCUUCCCCCAACAGAGAUACCGCCUCCCCUGUCCCCUCCGUGGGGUCUGGUGGCAGUGAGGACACCCCGGGGGGUACUCCUGCAUUGGGAUCCCCCAGAGCUGGUCCCUAAGAGACUGGAUGGCUACGUCUUGGAAGGCCGGCAAGGCUCCCAGGGCUGGGAGGUGCUGGACCCGGCUGUGGCAGGCACAGAAACAGAGCUGCUGGUGCCAGGCCUCAUCAAGGAUGUUCUCUACGAGUUCCGCCUCGUGGCCUUCGCGGGCAGCUUCGUCAGCGACCCCAGCAACACGGCCAACGUCUCCACUUCCGGUGAGCACGUGGCGUGAGGGAGGAGCCCCAGGGCUGCUCCGAGUCCACUGACCCUCCCUCGUGGCCCCCUGCCUAGGUCUGGAGGUCUACCCUUCGCGCACGCAGCUGCCGGGCCUCCUGCCCCAGCCCGUGCUGGCCGGCGUGGUGGGCGGAGUCUGCUUUCUGGGCGUGGCCGUCCUUGUGAGCAUCCUGGCCGCCUGCCUCAUGAACCGGCGCAGGGCUGCCCGCCGCCGCCGCCGCAAGCGCCUCCGCCAAGAUCCACCUCUUAUCUUCUCUCCGACCGGGAAGUCAGCUGCACCGUAAGUGCCUCCACCUCCUUGGCUUUCUUCUGCCUUUCCAUUGUACGUGCCAGUAUCUUCUGCUUCCUUUUUUGCAUCUUUAGCGGGGGGAUGUUGGGUGUUGGGGAGGAACAAAAGUGGGAGAGGGUAAGGAGGAGUGUGCAGUGGCCCCAGCCUGAGGCCGGUCCAGUAUGGCCUGUGCCUUCCUUCCACCCCUCCACCUUGUUGGUCCUUUCCUCGCUUGUUCUCCCUAGCUCUGCUCUGUUGUUCAUCAAACCUCUCAAGGCCUGAUGCUGGCUCCUGGGAGGGGGAUCUGCCCCUGCCACAGACCCUGAUCUCCUAUCCUUCCCCAGCUCUGCUCUGGGCUCAGGCAGUCCUGACAGCGUGGCGAAGCUGAAGCUCCAGGGAUCCCCAGUCCCCAGCCUGCGCCAGAGUCUGCUCUGGGGGGAUCCUGCCGGAACUCCCAGCCACCACCCAGAUCCUCCAUCUAGCCGGGGACCCUUACCCCUGGAGCCCAUUUGCCGGGGCCCAGACGGGCGCUUUGUGAUGGGGCCCACUGUGGUGGCCCCCCAGGAAAGGUCAGGCCCAGAGCAGGCAGAACCUCGGACUCCAGCCCAGCGUCUGGCCCGGUCCUUUGACUGUAGCAGUAGCAGCCCCAGUGGGGCACCCCAGCCCCUCUGCAUUGAAGACAUCAGCCCUGUGGCACCCCCUCCAGCAGCCCCACCCAGUCCCUUGCCAGGUCCCGGACCCCUGCUCCAGUACCUGAGCCUGCCCUUCUUCCGAGAGAUGAAUGUGGAUGGGGACUGGCCCCCUCUUGAGGAGCCCAACCCUGCUGCACCCCCAGAUUACAUGGAUACCCGGCGCUGUCCCACCUCAUCUUUCCUUCGUUCUCCAGACACCCCUCCUGUGUCCCCCAGGGAAUCACUUCCUGGGGCUGUGGUAGGGGCUGGGGCCACUGCAGAGCCCCCUUACACAGCCCUGGCUGACUGGACACUGAGGGAGCGGCUGCUGCCAGGCCUUCUCCCUGCUGCCCCUCGAGGCAGCCUCACCAGCCAGAGCAGCGGGCGAGGCAGCGCUUCGUUCCUGCGGCCCCCCUCCACAGCCCCCUCUGCAGGAGGCAGCUACCUCAGCCCUGCUCCAGGAGACACCAGCAGCUGGGCCAGUGGCCCUGAGAGAUGGCCCCGAAGGGAGCAUGUGGUGACAGUCAGCAAGAGGAGGAACACAUCUGUGGACGAGAACUAUGAGUGGGACUCAGAAUUCCCUGGGGACAUGGAAUUGCUGGAGACUUUGCACCUGGGCUUGGCCAGCUCCCAGCUCAGACCUGAAGCUGAGCCAGAGCUAGGUGUGAAGACUCCAGAGGAGGGCUGCCUCCUGAACACUGCCCAUGUUACUGGCCCUGAGGCCCGCUGUGCUGCCCUUCGGGAGGAAUUCCUGGCCUUCCGCCGCCGCCGAGAUGCUACUAGGGCUCGGCUACCAGCCUAUCGACAGCCAGUCCCCCACCCCGAACAGGCCACUCUGCUGUGAACAUCCCUAAUGUGAGGCUGGGAAAAGGCAUAUGGACCUGCAAAGGAGGCCCCCAACCAGACAGACCUAGUUUCAAACUAGGGCACUGCCCCUGCCUGCCCCUUUGGUGCCCAGGCACAGACCCUGAUAGUGGGCUUGGGUCACCUUGGUAUGGAAUGUAUGUGCUGACUCCCUAGGUGAGUCUGGGGAUUGGAACAGGGAUCUUAGGUCUGCCUCUCUCUCUCUCUCUCUCUCUCUCUCUGUGUGUGUGUGUGUGUGUGUGUGUGUGUGUGUCUGUGUGUGUGGUGAAGUUUUUUACAGGUGAAUAAACAAAGUUUGAAAGAUA